rnacentral:antisense_RNA from 1 species
UUUAAUGUCGAGGCUUGCGGGCACGCUUAGGCGUGGCCGUGUCCCUGUACUCACGGAUUUCCACCCCGCAAGUACUCGGCACCAUC